rnacentral:ncRNA from 1 species
GUUGUCUGUAAUUAUGCACGGACAUCCUGAAUUCAAUCAUUGCAUAUUGGAGUAAUGACUAUGGCACUAAGUGCACAAGAGAAAGCGAAAAUUGUAGCUAAAUACGGGCAGGGAGA